rnacentral:lncRNA from 1 species
UAUUCUGCAGCGGCGGCGAACGAUUCCUCCCUCUAAUCUCAUUAGGUCUGCAAAGCAGCCCAAUUAGAUACUAUAAAACAAACAAUCACUUUGUCACUUUAAUGUUUUCACUUCAAAAGAUUUAGGACUGAUAAAACGGUGGCUCCUAAAGUUGCCUCCGACCUUUAAAAAUUUGCUCGGAACUCAGGAUGUCCCCUUUUCUUCACCCCUUCUUCUGCCCGCCUCCCCCACAUUAGCCCCCAGCUCUCCUUUGUUCACUCGCCCUUCUUUUCAGAAAGCCAAAUAAACAGCUCCUUUGAUGUGCGGCGGCUGCCUGCGAGGAGAAGUCUGAGGGACUCUGGCUAGGCGGGCAGCGCAGAUGGAAGGGCCCGGCUGCCCGUGGACAACAGGCUCAGCCACGGCUGGCCCCAUUCGGGGCGCCUUCCCCGUGGGCACAACUUCACCCUCGACGCAGCCUCGCCGCGCGGGCUCCUCACUGCAUCCCCAGGCUGAGGGGGUUGGGGAUGGGGUCGGGACCCUGCUCGGCCGAGGCCCGGGAACUCCGAGUUCCCACCUGGUUUGCUCAGCCUGCUCCCGGCAGUGCCACGGCGUUGGCGGAAGCCUGUAGGUGUCUCGGUCGCUAGCC